rnacentral:lncRNA from 1 species
CGUUUCUGCAUGGAGAAUUGAACUUGAUAUCAAAGAAUACGAAACUGCCUUUCUUGUAUAUAAAACCAUACCCAAUUUUUUCUUAGUAUGGAUUGCAAAAUUAGGUAUUUUCUGUAGGUGAGAUAUGCACAGAAGUGAUAGAUAUGUAUUAUAAAUAUAGAAAAUUGAAUAUCUUAAUCAACAACAGAAUAAAAAAAAAAUAACUGUAUCAUAUAUCAAAGCGCCUGUGGAUAAAACUAGAUAGCUGACAUGAUUUAAAUUAAAGUAAGACCACCAAUUUCCC